rfam:Gossypium hirsutum cultivar TM-1 chromosome 1, whole genome shotgun sequence
AUUCCGUGAUGAAGGCAUUUUCGUAAUAAUUCUUUAUACCUAUCCCAUGCUUCAUACAAGGACUCAUCAUUCAUUUGUUAGAAAGCGGUGAUCUUGUUCCUCAACUU